rnacentral:rRNA from 1 species
UACAGAGGUCUCAAGCGUUGUUCGGAUUUAUUGGGCGUAAAGGGUGCGUAGGCGGCGCGGUAAGUCGGGUGUGAAAUCUCGGAGCUUAACUUCGAAACUGCAUUCGAUACUGCCGUGCUUGAGGACUGGAGAGGAGACUGGAAUUUACGGUGUAGCGGUGAAAUGCGUAGAUAUCGUAAGGAAGACCAGUGGCGAAGGCGGGUCUCUGGACAGUUCCUGACGCUGAGGCACGAAGGCCAGGGGAGCAAACGGG